rnacentral:rRNA from 1 species
GGCUCAGGACGAACGCUGGCGGCGUGCUUAACACAUGCAAGUCGAACGCUGAAGCACCAGCUUGCUGGUGUGGAUGAGUGGCGAACGGGUGAGUAAUACGUGAGUAACCUGCCCUUGACUCUGGGAUAAGCCCGGGAAACUGGGUCUAAUACUGGAUGCUACAUGUCACCGCAUGGUGGUGUGUGGAAAGGGUUUACUGGUCUUGGAUGGGCUCACGGCCUAUCAGCUUGUUGGUGAGGUAAUGGCUCACCAAGGCGACGACGGGUAGCCGGCCUGAGAGGGUGACCGGCCACACUGGGACUGAGACACGGCCCAGACUCCUACGGGAGGCAGCAGUGGGGAAUAUUGCACAAUGGGCGAAAGCCUGAUGCAGCGACGCCGCGUGAGGGAUGACGGCCUUCGGGUUGUAAACCUCUUUCAGCAGGGAAGAAGCCACAAGUGACGGUACCUGCAGAAGAAGCGCCGGCUAACUACGUGCCAGCAGCCGCGGUAAUACGUAGGGCGCA